rnacentral:lncRNA from 1 species
AAUCUUCCAGGCUCGCCUGCAGGACCUGUGCAAACCUGAACAUUCCUGAAAUUCGGGGGGGAAGCGACCACCUAUCCACCAAGCCCCAGUGGGGGAAGCUGCAGGGCUCUGUCAAAGGCAACAGAGAAAGAGAACAGCUUAUUGAGAGAGGAAGCCACCUCUUGUUUAGCCCCUGUCAUGUUUAUGUUGGAAAAACCCCAGCUUAGUAGUAUGAGAGCUGCAGGAAGAGGCUGCACCUGCGGAUAUGAGGCCCCUGGUCCCCUUCGGGCAGAAGUUACCUUAUCAAGGAGUUUCCAGAAGCACAGCCAGCUCUUGUUGAUGGGCAGGAGCCUCCUUCUCUUAAGACAACACACAGUGGAGACGUGCUUUAGGUAAUUGGCCUGCCCUGUGAAAACUCCUGGCUGUUUUUUCAGGUGAGUUUUCUUGUAACUUAACUGCAGCUCCGUGACUUACUGCUUCUUUUCCAGGCUCUUCUAGGGAAAAUUUGCGCCUGUGGCCUGAGUCCAGAACACACCCUAGUCUUCUCUGGAGAGAAGCAGAGUCAGGGAAGGAAGAGAUUGUGUAAUGUGGACAGUGUUCAGUGCUCAUCGCUGAGGAAUCUGAGUGUCAGUUUGCAUUCAUCAUGGGUGGAGGGCUCCGCAGCUGGCGGAAGGCCAGCUGCAGUGUAAAGGUAGGACUCAAUGGUGAAGACUUCCUGGGGUGGAGGAAGUAGAGAAAUCAAAGGACGCUC